rnacentral:rRNA from 1 species
UACAGAGGUCUCAAGCGUUGUUCGGAUUCAUUGGGCGUAAAGGGUGCGUAGGUGGCGUCGUAAGUCAGGUGUGAAAUCUCGGGGCUCAACCCCGAAACUGCACUUGAUACUGCGAUGCUCGAGUACUGGAGAGGAGAUUGGAAUUUACGGUGUAGCGGUGAAAUGCGUAGAUAUCGUAAGGAAGACCAGUGGCGAAGGCGGGUCUCUGGACAGUUCCUGACGCUGAGGCACGAAGGUCAGGGGAGCAAACGGG